UACGUAGGGGGCUAGCGUUGCUCGGAAUCACUGGGCGUAAAGCGCACGUAGGCGGUUUGUUAAGUCAGGGGUGAAAUCCUGGAGCUCAACUCCAGAACUGCCUUUGAUACUGGCGAUCUUGAGUCCGGGAGAGGUGAGUGGAACUGCGAGUGUAGAGGUGAAAUUCGUAGAUAUUCGCAAGAACACCAGUGGCGAAGGCGGCUCACUGGCCCGGUACUGACGCUGAGGUGCGAAAGCGUGGGGAGCAAACAGG
rnacentral:rRNA from 1 species